AGAUUGAACGCUGGCGGCAUGCCUAACACAUGCAAGUCGAGCGGCAGCGCGGGGGCAACCCUGGCGGCGAGCGGCGGACGGGUGAGUAAGGCAUCGGAAUCUGCCCUGAUGUGGGGGAUAACGUAGGGAAACUUACGCUAAUACCGCAUACGACCGAGAGGUGAAAGCGGGGGAUCGAAAGACCUCGCGCCGGUGGAUGAGCCGAAGCCGGAUUAGCUAGUUGGUAGGGUAAUGGCCUACCAAGGCGACGAUCCGUAGCUGGUCUGAGAGGACGACCAGCCACACUGGGACUGAGACACGGCCCAGACUCCUACGGGGAGGCAGC
rnacentral:rRNA from 1 species